UACAGAGGUCUCAAGCGUUGUUCGGAUUCAUUGGGCGUAAAGGGUGUGUAGGUGGCGCCGUAAGUCAGGCGUGAAAUUUCGGAGCUUAACUCCGAAACUGCAUUUGAUACUGCGGUGCUUGAGGACUGGAGAGGAGACUGGAAUUCACGGUGUAGCAGUGAAAUGCGUAGAUAUCGUGAGGAAGACCAGUGGCGAAGGCGGGUCUCUGGACAGUACCUGACACUGAGGCACGAAGGCCAGGGGAGCAAACGGG
rnacentral:rRNA from 1 species